rnacentral:rRNA from 1 species
UACGAAGGGGGCUAGCGUUGUCCGGAAUCAUUGGGCGUAAAGCGCGUGUAGGCGGCCAGAUAAGUCCGUUGUGAAAGCCCGGGGCUCAACCCCGGGAGGCGGAUGGAUACUGUUUGGCUCGAGUCCGGAAGAGGCGAGUGGAAUUCCCGGUGUAGCGGUGAAAUGCGCAGAUAUCGGGAGGAACACCAAUGGCGAAGGCAGCUCGCUGGGACGGUACUGACGCUGAGACGCGAAAGCGUGGGGAGCGAACAGG